rnacentral:misc_RNA from 1 species
AACGCACAUUGCGCUUCUUGGUAUUCCGAGGAGCAUGCUUGUUUGAGAAUCGGUUUCCUCCUCUUUUGUCAAUUCAUUGACAAAGGGAUGUUUGUGCUAUUGAUGUUGAGAAACGUCAUGGCGUGAAAUAGGCGUCGUUUACUUGUUCAUAAUUCAUUUUCAUUGUGCUAAUGAACGAGGGUUGACUGAAUGAUAGUGAAACUUUUUAUGUUUCUUUCAAACCAGUUUUCCAUUUGUUUUGUGCUUUGUCAAUGAUGUCCAAGUGCGAUAACCACCACAUAACCAAAAAAGAGAUGAUGUCGUCUCUUUUAAAAACUAGAUCUCAAAUCAAGCAAGAGUACCCGCUGAACUUAA